rnacentral:rRNA from 1 species
GUGGGGAAUCUUCCACAAUGGACGAAAGUCUGAUGGAGCAACGCCGCGUGAGUGAAGAAGGGUUUCGGCUCGUAAAGCUCUGUUGUCGGGGACGAAUGUGCAGUAUUUGAAUAAAGUACUGCAAUGACGGUACCUGACGAGGAAGCCACGGCUAACUACGUGCCAGCAGCCGCGGUAAUACGUAGGUGGCAAGCGUUGUCCGGAAUUAUUGGGCGUAAAGGGAGCGCAGGCGGGAAGGUAAGUCGGUCUUAAAAGUGCGGGGCUCAACCCCGUGAUGGGAUAGGAACUAUCUUUCUUGAGUGCAGGAGAGGAAAGUGGAAUUCCUAGUGUAGCGGUGAAAUGCGUAGAUAUUAGGAGGAACACCAGUGGCGAAGGCGACUUUCUGGACUGUACCUGACGCUGAGGCGCGAAAGCGUGGGUAGCAAACGGGAUUAGAUACCCGGGUAGUCC